GUGCUGGCUUUGGCAUCACCUAUACUAAAAUUGGAAUGACACAGAGAAGAUUAGCAUGGCCCCUGCGUGAGGAUGACAUGCAAAUUCAUGAAGCAUUCCAUAUUUUU